rnacentral:rRNA from 1 species
UACGAAGGGUGCUAGCGUUGUUCGGAAUCACUGGGCGUAAAGCGCGCGUAGGCGGCUUAUCAAGUCAGGGGUGAAAUCCUUGGGCUCAACCCAAGAAUUGCCUUUGAAACUGAUAAGCUAGAGUACUGGAGGGGAUAGCGGAAUUGCUAAUGUAGCGGUGAAAUGCGUAGAUAUUAGCAGGAACACCGGUGGCGAAGGCGGCUAUCUGGACAGUAACUGACGCUGAGGCGCGAAAGCGUGGGGAUCAAACAGG